rnacentral:rRNA from 1 species
UACGGAGGGUGCAAGCGUUGUCCGGAAUCACUGGGCGUAAAGGGCGCGUAGGCGGCUCAUGAAGGCUGUGGUGAAAGUCCGGGGCUCAACCUCGGAUCGGCCGUGGCGACUCGUGGGCUGGAGCACUGUAGAGGCGGGUGGAAAUCCGGGUGUAGCGGUGGAAUGCGUAGAGAUCCGGAAGAACACCGGUGGCGAAGGCGGCCCGCUGGGCAACUGCUGACACUGAGGCGCGACAGCGUGGGGAGCAAACAGG